CUAUAACACUGGGAUCAACAUUCAUUAGCUCAGAAGGAUCUAGAUGAAGGUCUGCUGGCAAGCAUCAAUAUAAGAUAGAAAAGGCCAUGUGAGGACAUUGAGAAGCUGUUGUCUGCAAGUGGAGGAGUCUCACAAGAAACCAACCCUGUUGGCAGCUUGACUGUGGACUUCCAGACUCCAGAACUGCACUGCCCAUCCCUUACCCCUCAACCCCAGUGGACCUCUUGCUCUCCUCACUUCAUCUCAGCACCUCCUCCCAGAAGACCUGAACUGAAACAUCAGGGAUCC